rnacentral:lncRNA from 10 species
AGAGUCCUGCCAAGGGCUACGAGGCAGAAAACUGAUAUUAUUAAAGUGGUCUUCUGAACGCAACUCUCUGCAAGGUCCUAAGGGUUCUAAGUUGAAUAAGGCCCACUCCCUCCCUUCCAGGACUUUAGCUGAGGUUGGUUGGGGCAGAAGUCGGGCAAGACUCAUCGGAACGGAUUAACAGAGACAGAAUCCAGAGGCAACGGGGUGAAUUCCAAGUAUAGGAUCUGGACUCAGAAGAGAUUUAAGUUUCAAAUCUGGCUUUGUCAGUUAAUGCUUGUGGGAUCUCAACCACGUCACUGACUUCUCUGAGCAUGCUUCCAUAUUUCUACAAAGGAAACAAUAGGUGACUCUGCUGAGUUGAGCACUUGCGAGUACCAAGCAGUGAGGACCUGAGGCACAGAUGCUAACCAGCUUGCUGGAGAUCACACACUCAUGAGUGGCAGAGUGGGGCUUGGAACCGGGUAGCCUGGCUCUGGAGCCCUCACUCCAUCCACACACCAUGCUGGGACCCAGUCGAGUGACCAGCAGACCGGUUGUGUGGGUUAGGUGGAAUGGUGGAUAUAAACCACACAGCCCAGCUCCUGACCCAUGCUGGGCCCUCAUUCCUCCUGAAUUCCUUCUCAUUCCUGCCGCCUUCUGAAGAAGGUGCCUUGCUUCCCCUUCACCUUCUGCCGUGAUUGUAACUUUCCUGAGGCCUCCCCAGCCAUGCUGAACUCAUGAGGCAGGAAAGGAUAGAAGCCUUUCAGAGCCUGAGCCAAGUUCCUCCUCACAGAAGCACAGAGGACACUUACUCCAUCUCUGAAAAAGCUGCCCACACCCCACCUCCAUCCAGCCUUCCAAAAGCCACCACGAAUGACCCGUAGGAGGGGCAGAGUGUGCCACUUGCUACGGACCAGAACCUCUGGGGAGCGGGGAUCAUCUCUGUGUCUCUCUGCUUCAACUGCAUUUAAAAUGAACAUUCUUAAUGAUAAACCUUUCCGUGUGUAAAGAAGGGCGUGGAAAAAUGUAUGUACUGGAGACUCGGGUAAUGACUUUCUAAGUGUGGAAAAUUUUCCCCCAAAGUGUUUCCAAAUAUAGAAAAGUCACAUAAUAAAUGAUGAGGGCUCAUAAACCUUUCUGGCAGCAGUUGCAGGGGUCAGAACAAGGAAGAAGGAAUUCCCAGCUCCUAGGGCCUCGCAUCCCACACUGUCUUCUGGGCUACUGUGCAACCAAUGGUUCCGUAUCUGUACGUACCCAGGGGCUCCUUAGAUAAAUAAUUGAAGUGAAAUAUCAAAUGUGUUACUGGUUUUUUAAUGUCACUGAUAAAACCCCUAAAAUAGACUGCAUGUCUCCCAGCUCUUCUGAACCAGGAGUGUUUGGGAAGUUGAGAAUGUCACUGGUCACAUUGUUCCUUUCUCUUGUGUCUCUAAAGGGUUUUGUUGUUUUAGGUUUGUUAAUGGUUGUCAAACACAUGCCUCAGACAUUUUUAACCUCCUGGAAGCCUACUGGACUCAACACACUGAAACCAGCCCUGAUUCUCUGCUGACUGCAUUUGCCAAGAUUGAGUCCUAUAAUUGUCAGGUUGCUGCCAAAGCUAAAGCCCUGCCCCACCUGCCCCGCCCCGCCACCCACCUGCCCCACCCCACCGCCCAUAGCCUUCCCUGAGAACCAUCUUCAACUUCUUGGCAGCUGUGAUUCUCCUCACCUCUAUGGGUGGAGGAAACCAGUAGGGGUGCAGAAGAUCAGGGGGUUGUGGAAACCUGCAUCUUCUUCAUGCUCCCCAAACCUUUCUUCCUUGAAGCAAGGAAGGGCCUAGCUCUGUCACAGAAAGGGUACUGAAAGACAUAACAGAAAUGCCCAACCAAAUGGAGAUUAUGAGUGAAUGUGGUCACUGGGAUCACAGCUGGCCCUAACAGGUCUAUUCUAACUAUUCUAACUCUGGUGAGCCCCCAAAGAAUGAGGGACCCCCUCAGACGCUCCCAAUUUAUCACUUCAAAAAUCUUCGAAGAGCUCCCAGAGAAACCCUGGAGCUUACACAGGCCUCCAGAACAAGGCAGGAGUUUUGGUCCUGGACAGAUAACCUUGUCAGAGCAUCAGAGACACAGGCACCAUGUUGGGUAUGAGCAAGUCCCUCUUGACCACCCUCUCCCCUCAUUUUAUGAACAGAGAAAGUAGCUCUCAUGUCCGGAGAGACUACCAAGAAGCCCUGGGCAUGUGUUUUGACUCAGAAAGUCCUAGAAGAGUAGACAGAAAGGUCACCAUGUUAUUUUAAACCCAAACUUGAUACUUGGAUGUAUUCAUGGCCUGGCAUAUAAGAGCUGAGAAAUACCUCCCCACUCCACUUGUCACAGCUCAAGUCCUCACCCAUGUAUCAGUUUGAGGUUUGGGCUCUAGGUUUUGAGAUAGAAUGAAGGAUCCAAAGAGUUCCCAAGAAGAUGGAAAGCUAUGAUACAUAAAGAAAGGAUGAAGAUUAAGCCUAUGCAUUCAAAGUUCUUGUGACCCAUGGAAAAAAUAAAAAUAAAACCCAAGCAGAAUGCUGAAAUGCAUUGUGAUUCCUAAGCUUGGGAAGAAAAAGCCACAGGAUGAUAAAAUCUCUGUGUUUAAGUAAAAGAAGGAGACUGGUUAUCUGAAGAGUGCUGAUCUGUUUUCUAUUAUCAGCUAAUUCCAUGAUUUUAUUGCCACUCUCUCCUGAGUUUCUAUCAUGGGCAGUGUAGGCAUUGAAUCAGAGAAUCUUCUAUGGGAAAACUCAGAGUUCAAUUCAGGGGAGUGAUGCCGAGGGACAGAGUUAUCUCCAUGGCUC